rnacentral:rRNA from 1 species
ACGAACGCUGGCGGCAUGCCUCACACAUGCCAGUCGAACGCGACCUUCGGGUCUAGUGGCGCACGGGUGCGUAACGCGUGGGAACCUGCCCUUAGGUUCGGGAUAACUCCCCGAAAGGGGUGCUAAUACCGGAUAAUGUCUUCGGACCAAAGAUUUAUCGCCUUUGGAUGGGCCCGCGUUGGAUUAGCUAGUUGGUAGGGUAAAAGCCUACCAAGGCGACGAUCCAUAGCUGGUCUGAGAGGAUGAUCAGCCACACUGGGACUGAGACACGGCCCAGACUCCUACGGGAGGCAGCAGUGGGGAAUAUUGGACAAUGGGCGAAAGCCUGAUCCAGCAAUGCCGCGUGAGUGAUGAAGGCCUUAGGGUUGUAAAGCUCUUUUACCCGGGAUGAUAAUGACAGUACCGGGAGAAUAAGCUCCGGCUAACUCCGUG